AGCAGGAGAGACCUUCCAGCGUGGCGUGUUUCAGGCAUGGAUCGAACAGCUUCCAUGCCCUGCAGACACGCCCCCGGGGUGGCGCCGAAGGGGCAGCAUCCCCGCAAACUCUCAGGCAAAAGGACUGCCG
rnacentral:ncRNA from 1 species